GGCAGUGGGGGCAGCUACACAUGCAGUCGAGCGCGAAAGUUCCUUCGGGAGCGAGUAGAGCGGCGGACGGGUGAGUAACGCGUGGGAAAUUGCCCAGUAGUGGGGGACAACAACCGGAAACGGUUGCUAAUACCGCAUACGCCCUACGGGGGAAAGCGGGGGAUCUUCGGACCUCGUGCUAUUGGAUAUGCCCGCGUCGGAUUAGCUUGUUGGUGAGGUAACGGCUCACCAAGGCGACGAUCCGUAGCUGGUCUGAGAGGAUGAUCAGCCACACUGGGACUGAGACACGGCCCAGACUCCUACGGGAGGCAGCAGUGGGGAAUAUUGCACAAUGGGCGCAAGCCUGAUGCAGCCAUGCCGCGUGUGUGAAGAAGGCCUUCGGGUUGUAAAGCACUUUCAGUAGGGAGGAAGGCCCUAAAGUUAAUACCUUUGGGGAUUGACGUUACCUACAGAAGAAGCACCGGCUAACUCCGUGCCAGCAGCCGCGGUAAU
rnacentral:rRNA from 1 species